rnacentral:rRNA from 2 species
GUAGACGCUGGCGGCGUGCCUAUACAUGCAAGUCGAGCGGAUCUUCAUUAGCUUGCUUUUGAAGAUCAGCGGCGGACGGGUGAGUAACACGUGGGCAACCUGCCUGUAAGACUGGGAUAACUUCGGGAAACCGGAGCUAAUACCGGAUAAUCCUUUCCCUCACAUGAGGGAAAGCUGAAAGACGGUUUCGGCUGUCACUUACAGAUGGGCCCGCGGCGCAUUAGCUAGUUGGUGAGGUAACGGCUCACCAAGGCAACGAUGCGUAGCCGACCUGAGAGGGUGAUCGGCCACACUGGGACUGAGACACGGCCCAGACUCCUACGGGAGGCAGCAGUAGGGAAUCUUCCGCAAUGGACGAAAGUCUGACGGAGCAACGCCGCGUGAACGAUGAAGGCUUUCGGGUCGUAAAGUUCUGUUGUUAGGGAAGAACAAGUACCGGAGUAACUGCCGGUACCUUGACGGUACCUAACCAGAAAGCCACGGCUAACUACGUGCCAGCCCGCCGCGGUAA